rnacentral:tRNA from 1 species
GGACCAUUAGCUCAGUUGGUUAGAGCAUCUGACUCAUAAUCAGAGGGUGCACAGUUCGAUCCUGUGAUGGUCCA